GAGGGCUGAGGGCUGCAGAGUGAAGACAGAGCAGCAGCUUCUCCUAUAUCUGAUUCCUGUAAGACAGUCAGUCACUCCUCAAUGUGAUGGAUCUUCCUGGAUAGUUCAUCCUUCUCGAUUUCCAGCUGCUGGAUCUUAUCAGAGAUGAAAAAAUCCUGGCGGGAAAACCAUUUGUAUGCUUUUACGACAGAGGCCUCAUCCAGCAUCUCCACCUGAUGACCCCCGAUGUUCUCCAGCCAAGCUACAGGACACACAGACACAGAGGGAGUCCUCAAUGCAAUAAGGAAAUGCUCCAUCCCUAUGGAUGGAGCAUUUCCUGUUCCCCAGGGAGCUGGUGGGUUCAGUCAUGACAUGUUCUGGUGCCUUGCUGUGGACUCUCAGGUGUUUAUCACACAAAUAAACUUCACAAUGAAGACAGGAUUUAACAGCCGUACAGGAGAGCCCACACAGUAAGUACAGAAUAUUCCAGUCUCAUCCUGAGUUGGCUGAGGAAAGAGGAAACUCUCCACAAUGUUACACAGUUAUGUUCCUCAUGACUAUGGUAGUCUGAUAUUGCAACCCUCCUAUUAACCUUUAACCUUCCCCCCCUUUGAACCCCUCUUACCCAGUAAGGACACUGACACAGUAAAUUGGAGUAAAAUUGGCCACAACAGC